rnacentral:rRNA from 1 species
AGGGGGUGGGAAAGCUUAUUUGGCGGACGGGUGAGUAACGCGCCGCUUAAACAAAACAAACAGGACGGGGACAACAGUUGGAAACGACUGCUUCCACCCGAUAGACCAACCGGAGAAAGAUUUAUCGCCUGAAGAGGGGCUCGCGUCCGAUUAGCUAGUUGGUGGGGUAAAAGCCUACCAAGGCAGCGAUCGGUAGCCGGUCUGAGAGGACGAUCGGCCACACUGGGACUGAGACACGGCCCAGACUCCUACGGGAGGCAGCAGUGGGGAAUUUUCCGCAAUGGGCGCAAGCCUGACGGAGCAAGACCGCGUGAGGGAAGAAGGCCUUUGGGUCGUAAACCUCUUUUCUCAAGGAAGAACACAGUGACGGUACUUGAGGAAUAAGCCUCGGCUAACUCCGUGCCAGCAGCCGCGGUAAUA